rnacentral:rRNA from 1 species
GUCUACAGCCAUGCCACCCUAAACAAGCCCGAUCCCGUUUGAUCUCAGAAGCUAAGCAUGGUUGGACCUGGUUAGUACUUGGAUGGGAGAUCACCUAGAAAGACCAGGUGCUGUAGGCA